rnacentral:lncRNA from 1 species
AUCUUCAAAAUAUAACAGCGGUAUAUAGAACAAAACUCGUUGUCAUUUUGUUCAAUUAACUAGUAUUAUAAGUACAGGUAGCAAAAUUAACUCACCCAAUUGAAUUUGUAGUGCAUUGGAAAAUUAUCUAUCCAGAACAUAUAUGAACCUCAAUGUAGUUUAGAUAUACUCAGAAGACCAGUGCAAUUCAUAUGGGAUCGCGCCAUCAUCGAAGAAGAUUCUUUUGAUUUUCUCUAUUCGCCAGUUCAAUCAGCUCCAAGCCAUUGGUGUCGGGUAAAAUUCUAUACACACCUCCAAGGCAUUGGUGUCGGGUAAAAUUCUAUACACACACACACAAUAAAUGUGCAAUAACCCAUCAAUGUAUAUAGAAUCAAUCAAUCAACUUUGAUCAAGGUAACGUAUUUCAUAUCCAAUUUUGAACGUUAAUGUCUCUUUCAGUCCUAGGGUCUGAGUUAAUUACCCUAUUAGUCCUUGAAUCUAUAAGUUAUUUGUUUUUGUAAAAUCAACUUAAUUAUACUUAACCUUUCAUAUGUUGCAUGUCAAACCAAAAAAAAAAAAAAAAAAACCUUCGCUCGUAAAAAGUUAGAUCUAACAGUUGUGGAAAUAACACUAGAAACCAACUAAUAACCAAAACUGAAAACUCAGUGGAAUAUAUAAAGGGGAAAUUACUCAAUUUUAAACGUAAGCAUAUAUAAGCAGCACUGCAGCGCACAUCUGUUUCUAAGGUUUCUUUACUUUUAUUAUUAUUGUUGUUAUUAUUGCUUUACUAUGUACUCAACAAUUAUAGUAUGAAUUGCUGAUGUUCCACUUUCAUAGAAAGAUAACUAUUUCUACUCGUACAAUUGGGCAAAUAAUAAAGCUGUGCAAAAGGCUCUGAGAGUUCGGGAGGUAUGUUAUGGUUGGUUAGAGCAUAGUCGCAACCCAAAUCAUUAAAUAUUAUUUUUACUAAUACAUUCCCAUAUGAGCAGGGGACAGUAGAAUAUUGGACGAGAUGCAAUAAAAGUUUGUCUUACACAUCUGAUGUCUCAAGUGGUGUUGAUUAUCACCGAAAGCUCACCAAGAAAGGCUAUCAAGUUUUGGUUUACAGGUAAUAAUAUAUAGACAAGUUAUUAGGAGCGUAUGUUCCAAUAUUUUAGAAUGCCAACAUUUUGAAGGAUGAAUAAAUUCAUCAAUGAUCGGGAAUGUUCAAUGAUCCGGAAUAUUUAACUAAUGAAAUGAUAGUUUGGAAUAUGCCUGAUUGCUUUUUAUACAUGAGACUUCUUCUCCUUCCUCGAAUUUUUCCACAAACGUAAUUCAAGCCUGUAUCUAAAAAGACACUUUAAUAACGCUCUGGUUAGCUCAUAUUUUAUGACUUUUUGGUAAAUCAAAUUUAGUUUUGUCUUCUUCUAGUGCAGUCAAUAGUCCCUUCUUGAUUUUUUUGACCCAUAUUUGAGUCUUAAAUUGAGUCUCAAUAUUAUGUGUCACUCAUUUACUAGAUGAUGGACGUGAAGGCUUUUAAAGUCACUUAACUAGCAUCCAAUAAAUGAAUGCUACAAUAAUUGAAACUUAAAUUUUGAGAUACCUAGUAUUGCUCUUAAAAAUUUAUCACGGAGGUGCUAUGAUGGACUAAGUUUCUAGCUAUCUCGUAGUCUACACAUUGGACUAAUUUUCUUUCACGAAUACAGCGGAGAUGUCGACAUGGUAGUUCCAUAUAUGGCUACUGAAGCAUGGAUAAAGUCAUUAAAUUUGACGAUUGAAACUGGCUGGCAGCCGUGGUUGGUGGAAAGUCAAGUUGCAGGGUUGGUUUAUUUUCAUCUCAGCUUGUUUAUCAUAUUUGGAAUAUUAACUUUAACAUUAUAUGAUAUCUCACAGUUGUUUUAAUUUCUACUAUUGAUUUCUGUAGAUAUUGGUACCGUUACAAGGGAAAGAACAAUUAUCAUUUGACAUUUGCCACAGUAAAGGCAAGAAUAAAUCAUUUUCCCUGAAAACUAUCUACCGUGAUUAAUUAGCUAAUUAAGCAGCUAAAUUAUAUAAUUAAUGACUACUAAUUGUGUAAUUAAUAUGGGUUGUGCAGGGAGCAGGUCAUAAUGGUCCAGAGUACAGGCCUAAGGAAUGUCUUGCAAUGAUCGACAGGUGGUUCGCAUCCUAUCCUCUCUAGAGCCACGUUCAUAUAAUUAUUAAGUUUUGGAGAUUGAAAAAUAAAUGUGGAGCUUAAGUGGCUGAUGGCGUUGUAAACACCCAUAAAAUUAUUUAUGUUUGGCUUUACCAAACUUAUGAUCUGAAAAACUAGUAUUGCAAGAGCCUUGAUGCUCCUAUUUGCUUUUUUAAAAACAUCGCUCCAAACUCAUUUGUGUACGGUUUUUUUUCAUCUCAACUUGGUAAUCAUAUUUGUCUUAUGAAAUAAUUAUAAUUUAUGAAUCCUGUCACACGUCUGCCAUAUAUAAAGCCUCGGGAUCAAAAACUGUGACAUGAGUAAUCGUCAGAGCCGCUUUGCAUUCAAUAAAAGUGACACAAAAAUUUAAUGGGAAUUCUAUUGAAAUUGAUUGAUUGGACAAAAUGAGAGGAGGAAAUACCUCCACGUCUACCCAUUAAUUAUAAUACAACACUGGUAGGUACUUUUUUUUUUUUUUUUUUUUUUUUGAGAAUGGUAGGUACUAAUUUCUGGUGUUCAAUACCACCAAAAAAAAAAUCGAAAAAUUUACAUCAAUAGCCAUAAAAAUUUUGGCUUUUUUCAUCUUAACUCCCCAAACAAACUUCUAUCAACAUUAGUCAUAAAAGAGUCUUUGAGACCAAAAUACCCUUCUCUCUCAUCUCCAUAAUGUUGGUGAGCUUGCCUUGGCGCAACAACUCGCCGAUUCUGUCAAGCCUUUAAAUCAGCCAUGUCGGCAGUAGAAACACGCUCCAUUUCGGAAAUGGCGUCGUCAGAGAUUUUGGACUCGGUUUCACUGACCUCGUAAUCUUCAAGACCAGAGAAGCUCGCUCUGUCUCGGACUUCCCUACGUGGGCUGCCGGAAGAGAUGAAGGCGUUGGUGAAUCUGAGAUAUUUGAAUUUGGAGGAAACAUCUAAAAUGUCUAGGAUUCCAAAGCAGUUGAUAUCCAGCAUUUCGAAGUUACAGGUACUCAGGAUGCUCAAAUGCAGUGGAAGCGUUCUAUCUGACGAUGCAGAACCUUUGAUGAAGGAACUGCUCUGUUUGGAACAUUUGGAUGUUAUCAGCUUGACAUUAGAUUGUUCACGUGCCAAUGUCAUCCCAAUUCUUUUCAAGUAUCGAAAGCUGGUGAGCGUUACUCAAUCUCUGGAGAUUAGUUCCUUCUGGUUUAGUCCAAGGCUCAAUGCCUCAGAUCUAGCAAAUCUGGCUAGCAUGGAAAAGCUUGGGGAGUUGAAUUUUAUGUUGUGUAAUUUUGAAGAGUUUAAGAGCACAGGAGAUGUAGAGAAAGUUCUUCAAAGUCGUUUCCGCAGUCUUCGCAAAAUUGUAAUAAAUGGGUGCGAAGUGAAGGACUUGACGUGGCUUGUUUUUGUUCCAAACCUCUAGCAGCUACAUAUAAGUUUGGUUUAGAAGAAUUGAAGAGCAUCUGUUGGAGCCCGUUGCCUGGAAGUGUUGGUGCGACAGGCGCCUGUCGCACCAAGGCCAUUUGGUGACCACUUGGUGCGACAUGCCGUUUCUUCUUCUUGCUUUCACCUUCUUGAUUUCUCACCCUCGGAACAAAAGACACUAACGAUAUACUUUUAGUUAACACAUUAUUCUUGCGACUGCCAAACAACAAAGUUGACAAAGAAUGCUUUCCCUGAUGAUCCGUAGUAGUAACGCGAUACUUAUUAUACACUGGAGAAGAACAAGAAGAAGCCUCAGAAGAAAAAUAGUAAGACGAUAACGAUGAGGAAGAAGAAUAAGCAAUUCUAAGAAAAAAAAUUGGGGUGUAAUCGUAUGAGAUAUAAGCAGUGUGAAAACUAUAAUAUGGACAUUUAACGGCUUACAUCACCUUUUACAAUUUGUUAAAAAGAUUGAAUUCAGAACGCAAAAGCAACCCUGGUAAAAGCAAUAAUAAUGACGAUGAUGGGAGUUUGUUCGAUUUGGGAGAGAUGUGAGAAAGAGAGUGUUGGGGGAGAGAUGAGAAAGAGGGGUAUUUUGGUCUCAAAUGUUCUUUUAUGGCUAAUGUUGAUAGAAAUUUGUUUGGGGGGUUAAGAUAGAAAAAGCUAAAAUUUUUAUGGCUAUUGGUGUAAAUUUCCCAAAAAAACCUCGGUUUCUAGGUGGAAUAAUUAAUAACAUAAGACUCUUUCACAAGAUUAUAUAAGAUAUGAAUUACCAAAAAGACAAAUUCAUAUUUCACUUGUGAUAAGUGUAAUGAAUGCCGUACCUUUCUCAGUCUUCAUCAGUUCAUUGAGCAUUAUGGCAGCAUUGCAAUUAUUUUACCUUUUCGUUGUCUCUAGCGUUGUUGCAUCACGCCAAAUAAUCAGAACCCUACCGGGCUUUGAUGGUGAUCUCGCAUUCAAACUAGAAACUGGGUAAGAAUUCCAGCUAGAGCAUGUUGUUUAGCUCUAGCUAAUUAAUUUAACGCUGUAUUAAUUAUUUGCAGGUAUAUUGGUGUGGGAGAUAAUGAUGAUGUGCAGCUGUUUUACUACUUUAUUAAAUCCGAGAGGAGUCCUGAAGAUGACCCUCUUGUGCUUUGGCUCACCGGCGGCCCUGGCUGUUCUGGAUUUUCUGGCCUUGUCUUUGACAUUGGUAUGAGAAUAAUAUCCAUUUAUUCCGCUAAUUAUCGUUGUCUUUACUCUUUUAAUAACAUUUUUGAAGAGAAUCUAAUUUUAUAAGUUUCCAUUACCAUUAAAAGAUCAUGGACGAAAUGUUUCCUUUUUCAUUUUUAAAUCAUACUAUUCAAUUAAUGUAGGUCCAUUGUCAUUUGACUAUGAAAAUUCCAAGGUAAACUCACCCAAGUUUUUGUUGAACCCAUACUCGUGGACAAAGGUACGACAUAGUUUCUCUUUGUUCUUCUAUUUUGUAAAUGGUAAGUUUAAUUAAUAAUUAGAACAGGGUUUGCAUCAGAGAUCUUUCUUAAAGCUGAAGUGAGCUUUGUUAGUGCCUCAGGGCUCCGGCUCGACAUCAUUCUAUUCAAAGUAUUUAUAUUUUGGCCCCUUACGAUAUAUUAUUUUAUGUUUUGGCGAUUUCAGUUUUACUUAUUUGCAAUGUGCCUCCCAAUUUUAGAUGUAAAUUCUAUUAGUUUGGCUACAAUUAUGUCUCUUUUUGUCACGGCUCCUCUCCCGACUGAGACUUGAGAGAGUUGUCAAUUAUUUUACAGGUUGCCAACGUUAUAUUCUUAGAUGCACCUGUAGGUACAAGAUUCUCAUACGCCAAUACUUAGGCAAGGAUACAUCAUGAAUGAUGCACUUUCAGCAGCACAAAACUAUUAUUUUUUAAGAAAAGUGAGGACAAAAAAUUGCUAUUCGUACGGAUUAACAAAUAUAUAUAAUAACAAACGAACAAAGAUUAAAAAAUUAAUAGAUUUUAAAUUUUUUUUUGAAUUUUUAUGAUUUGUUGUGAUUUUGUAUUUGUGGUUUUGUUUGUUGCUUAAAUGCUGUUGGAAACUUGGAAUAUUACCUAGUUCUAGAUGACAUUUUCAAAAAAUUUAAGGCUUCAUGAAACUCUUGGCACUCUAUAAUAAAACUUCUCUAUAAUUAUACUCUAUAUAAAAAUAAUUCUCUAUAGUUUGAAGAGGGAUAUUGCUAAUUUUUUUUACUAAAAUUAACUAUACCAUUUAUCUCUUAUUGCUUUCAUAAUAGCUAAUAACCUUCCUAACAACAUAAUUUUAUAGUAUUAUCAUUAUUUUCAAAUACAUUUUUAAUUAUAUUUAUUAUAAGAAAGUGUUUAUAAAAUAACAAAAAGUACAAGAAUCUUAUUAUUAAUUUUUAUUCACAUCGAGACAUAUAUUUGUUGUUUUUAGUACUUAAAUAAUUUUAUUUUAAUUUUUAUUUAUAUGAUUUAUUUAAUUUAUAAUAAAUAUAGAUAAAAAGUGUAUUUAAAAAUAAGAGUUGGAAAAUUGAUAAGCCUUGUUAUUUUGAAGGCCAUAUGAUUUAUGCCGGAAGCAGAAGAAGUGCUCUCGGGAGAUAUUUUUAGUAUUGCUAUCAGACAUUGGAAAAUUGAUAUUGAUUGCGAUUUUGAAGAAUAUUUGUAUUGAUUCUCUAAAUAAGAAUCCAUUAAUUGGUUUAGUUACGUUUCUGAUUGGAAAUGAAAUAUAAGGUGUACGAAUGAAUUUUAAUUUUGAAUUGUAGAAGCCGAAAUAUGCAGUCCAUGAAUUUUAAUUUGCUUUGUUAAAGUGUAGCAUUUGAGACCAAAUUUUUUAGCAGAACUUUAAUUCUUAGGGCCAAGGACCCAAUAAGCCUCAACAUAUACUGCCCCCAUGCUUCCCGUGUUGCUUUUGGUAACUACGAAAGGGAGUAUUGAUAGCUACAUAAUUUCUAAUACAUUAAGACAUGGUUUUAUUUGUCCUUGACCAUACAAGUUAGUCCCUGUCCCCUAUUAAAUUGACCAACCUACCAAUAGAGUACUGAAUCUAAAUUUUGAUCAUCACAAUAUAUAGUGAAAAAAGAAUAUUUCGGUAAUUUACUAUAGGAGUUGGGAGUCUAUUUGAUCAAUCAAAAAACAUUUUCUUAAAUACUUGAUGCUACCGUCCAAAAUUGCAGCCCAAAUUUGCCUUAGAUGCUACCGUUACCCAAAAUAAAAUCAAAAUAGGAGCCAGCGCAGUAUAAAUUUACAGAAUCAUUGAUUUCUUAAGCCAUGUAUUGCUUCACACUUUUUAGAAUCCAAUUUCUUCAAUCUCAAAUUGUCCCAGUUAAUUAAUUAUUGACCAUGAAAAGCAAGGAAAAAAAGAAAACCACAUUCAUGCAAAUUAUGUCAUCACCUGUCUUGCUUCUAAGGAAUGCUAGGGAUUCUUACAUCAACAGCUUCAAUGGCUGUGCCAAUGACGUUGGACGAGGCGGCGCGGUGGUCUGUCCGGUUCCACAUGUGUUGAGUACAUAAAAGCACCAGGUCGGCCAUGCUACUAUUUCCGCCCCGGCACGGAUCGCUUCAGCCAAAGUGAUAUGAGCAGAACACGUGGGCUAACAUGAGCCGACCAGAGAUGAAUACAACCAGGGAAAAAUACCGACCAGAGGUAUAUACCGAGCGGGCACUCAUCCCCAGAGAAGCGAGAACACGAUCCCACAGAAUCGUGGUAGUUGCGCUUUUCCCAAAACCGUUGAAGGACACGCGAGAUCCACGUUUGCCCACAAUGUAACAAUUAGAGUCCCAUGAGGGGCUGCCACUACCUGAAAAAGGUGGGAUGAAUGGCAAACGGAAACGUGGGGAUAACGGCUAUAAAAGAAGAAGAAAUCGAUGAAGAAAAGGAAGAAAAACUGAGAGAGGGAAAACGCUGCCAAAUUGCAACCAGGCCAUUUCCUUACAAAUUUCUAACAAACUUCUUGAAUCCAAAUUACAUUGUUUUCCCGUAAAUACCUUGUGCUAACUUAGGCAUCGGAGGGUUUACGCCGGCAAAACCACCGGCGUCUUUGACCCAUUUUUGUGAACGCAGGUCUAGUGAGAGAAAUGAGGGUGAUACCAGCCUUAGUGGUUCGAACAAACAGUCGAUAAUACAAACGUUGGUGAAAGAAUCUGGUCGGUCCAAGGGCGAGCAGAUUUCAGCAUCAACAUUUUGGCGCCGUCUAUGGGGAGCUGGAUAAAAAGCUACCACCGAAUCAGUAAUUACCGGAGAAACAGCGAACGAUUGUUAUGGAUGUGCCGAGAAAGGAUGCUUUGAGGGAGGAUAACGAAACUGUGGAGACAAUUACUCUCCGGAAAAUUACAAACGAAGCCCGGGAGAGGAUGAUGCAAGACCGAUUGGAACGGAUGGAGAAACAAAUGGAGACUCUCGCGACCAUACUGUAUGAGCUGAGGGAUGAGCGGAGAAAGGAUUGUGAAACCCCCGUGGGGAGAGAUGAUGUUGGAGCAGAGCCCAGCUUCCGGAGGCGUAGAGUUGAGGAAAUCCCUCCGCCGGUAGACCAACUUGAUGGGGUGCAUCCCCACAGAAGCACUAGUCGGGUUUUAGGAGAACGAGUAGAUGAAAGAAGGGACCAACCUCGCCCCGGAUGGGUACCGGAGAUUGAUGGCCGAGGGGCCAGUAUUGAUGAAGGAGAGCUCAGACAGCGGUUGCAAAACCCCGAGCAGGAACGAGCUCAGAUAGCUGCGCGUGAUCCUGACCGUGCUAUAGAAUUGGAGGAAGAAGUGUGCAAAUUAGCGCAAGUGAUAGAGGAGAUACAGGGCAAGAAAAAGCCCCUGAGCUGGAGGAUAAUGCUAGAUGAAGAAUCUCCAUUAUCAGCUGUGAUCAUGGGUACCAUAAUCCCAAGAGAUUUCCGCUUCCCCGACCUCAAAUACUCCGGGCGAAGUGAUCCACUGGUGCAUAUUGAACGUUUCAACGACGUGACGGGCGUGCAAGGGUUAACACCAGCCCAGAGAUGUAGGGUGUUACCAUUGACACUGGAAGGACGAGACCGAGAAUGGUACCGCAAGCUGACACGAGGAAGUAUCAGAGGGUACGAGUAGAUGUGCCAAGAGUUGGCCGAACAGUUCCGAGGAGCAGUGGCCCCAGAGGAUGAUAUGAUGGAGCUAAUAGGAAUGAAGCAGGAGGAACAAGAAUCCCUUCGGGAUUUUGUAAAACGAUAUCACCGAGCCGUGCUUGAUUUGGGAGCUUUCAAUCACCCGCAGGCGUUGAGGGGAUUAAAGGAGGGAGUGAGGAUAGGCCGGCUAUGGUAUAACCUGAGAAGUCCCUUGGUACAGAAUUACUCAGCGGGGUAUGAGCAGGCAAAGAGAGACAUUGAAAUCGAAGAGGAAAAGUCGGCGAUGAUAAAAAGUGAACAGCUGAAGGAGCUGAGAAGAAAGGAAAGGAGAACCCCGAGUGGGAGCGGAUCGGGAAAGCGAGUUGGGGAAUCUUCAGCUAAGGGCGGAAUAUCAGCUCGGUCCCGCCCUUACCCUGUAGCUUUGAGACCGCAAUAGUUCCAACACAGCCGAGCCCAACCUCCUCGUACUUCAUUCCCGGAGCGGCAACGAGAAUUCAGGCAAAUGGCUGCCCGCCCUUAUCACAACGCUCCCAGACCGUUACAUACAAGUGGUUCCAGGGUAGGAAGACCAGACCAGCUAGCGACUAUACCAGCCUGAGAUGACAUUCAGGAUAGCCGAGCAGUUCAACUGAUAGACCAGAGCUUGGCAUAUAGACAGUACACUCCAUUGAAGAUCUCCAUGGAGGAAUUGUAUGAGAGGAUCGAAGGACGAGGCCUGCUGUACCCUCCAGCCCCUAUAACAAAACCGGCUCACCGACGGGAUAAUAACAGAUUCUGCAAGUUCCACGACACUCAUGGUCACACAAUCGACCAAUGUCGUGACCUGAAGAUUCAGGUGGAGGACUUAGUACGGAACCGGUACUUGGAUGAGUAUGUAGAGGGGGUGUCCCUGAUCAUCGAAUCACAGUAUACACGGGAUGAAGAAGUUCAGAGGGGUCUGGGAGGUGAACAGCCGACCAUCCAUGUGAUAGCUGGGGGGCCAACAUUGGCCGGGGAUUCGAACAGGGCACGGAAGAACUAUGAGAGAUAUGCCCUGACUAGCAAAGAAGUGCUUUUCAAUUUGCCGGCAACCAAGAAGGCAAAAGUGCGGCAAGUUCCCAUUAUGUGGACAGAUGACGAUGAAGAGGGUAUCUUAUAUCCGCAUAAAGAUGCACUGGUGAUCAAGGCAAUGGUGGCUGGUGCAGAAUUGUGACGAGUACUAGUAGACACAGGCAGCUCGGUUGACAUCCUGUUUAAGUCGGCUCUAGAUGAUAUGGGGAUUGCAGACUUGAAAUUAGAGCGGACAAAUACAUCCUUAAAGGGAUUUGGAGUGGGACGGUUAACUCCCAUGGGGAUCAUCGAACUCCCAAUUACUAUGGGGACGAAGCCAUUUGAAAGAACAAUGAUGUUGGAUUUUGUCGUGGUAGAAGAAAGAAGCCCUUACCAGAUGAUACUGGGGAGACCAUUCAUGAGGAUAAGUCAAUGCGUUGUAUCCACGCAUUACUUGGCACUGAAAUACAGAGUAAAUAGGGUGGUUGGCGUUGUAAAAGGCGACCAGAGGAUGACAAUGAGUUGUUAUGCUACAGCGGCCAAGGAGACACUGCAGGUUACUUCUCUAGAUAAUCGAGGAGAGUCCAAAAAGGGCCGCCAAGAGCCUGUUGAGAAACUGAAAGAAGUUGCGGUAAGCAAAAGCAACCCGAGCAGAAUAGUGAAGAUCGGGUCAGGAUUGGUUGGGGCAGUAAAAAGCGAGCUGAUAAAUUGCCUACAGUCUCAUGCGGAUAUAUUCGCCUGGUCUCAUGAAGAUAUGCCCGGAAUUGAUCGCGGGGUAGCUUGCCACAAGUUGGCAAUCAAGAAGGGGGCAAGGCCGGUGAGACAGAAGAUGAGAUGCUUCAACUAGGAAAGGUACGAGGCCAUAAAUGCCGAGGUGGAAAAGCUGUUGAAAGUAGGGGUGGGCAAAAAAAGCUGAUUAAUUAAAAAUCGAACCGAACCGAUCGGUUCGGUUCAGUUUUUUUGCGGUUUUUUUAUAACCAAAAAACCGAAAUAGUAAUAUUAAAAAAAUAGUAAAACCAAUCGGUUCGGUUUUCGGUUUUAAAAGAAAAACCGCAAAACCGAACUGAAAUCUCAAAUAAACCGAUUGUUUUGAAAGCUAAAGCUAAAACCCAAAAGCCUAAAAUCUAAAUCUAAACUUUUGACUUCUGUCUUCUUCGGUUCCCGACUUCCCGCUGGCCGCUGCUCGUCGUGACUUCUUCUGUUCCCGCUGGCCGUGCGGCAUCCUUCGCUGUAAUUUUUGUGAUCGUGCGGCAUCCCUCGCUGUAAUUUUUGCUUCUGCUAACCUUGUUACUGUCUCAACUGCACUCUUUUCAACAGAGUUGAAAUCAUUCUGCUUUUUGGCCUCCGUUGUCUGCACCCAGACCUUUACAAAUUGACCUUGUUGAUUGAUUGCUUUUGCUUGGGAAAUCACAGAGAAGAUGCAACACAUCAGGUGGGAUGCACUUUCCUUCUUGGGCAUAUUAAAAAAUUAAUUUUAACUUUUUUCUUUAAACCAAAAAAGAAAAAGAAAAAUUAUUAUCCAUAUGUCAUCAUCAUCAAUUGGAAUUGGUCAUAAUUUGGGACCACCAUGUUUGUGCUGCCAUGUCAAAUUUUUCUGCAGUUCUCUUUUUCAUUUUUUUAUAAUAUAUAAUCUCGAUUUUUGUAGAUAGUUUAUGUAAUAAUUAAUAUAUAUAUUCUUGGUUGGCCAAAAUGAAUACAAAUGCAAUUAAUGAAUGAAGAAGUUAUUCAUAAAGCAUCAUUUAUUUAUUUGUUCAUUGCGGUUAAGUUGUAUGCGAUCUAUUUGGUUGUUGGUUACAACCAGUUAAAUAUUUAUUUAAAAAUAAAAUAUAACCUGUUAAUUAAGAUGAAUGUUGUAAUAUGAAGUCUCUUAAUUUUGUAAAAUGUGCGUGGUUAUUCAAUAAUUUUGUAAAAUGGUAGAUUUAUUAAUUUAAAGUUUUAAAUUUAAAAAAGCCCAAAAUAGGCCCAAUAGGCCCAUAAUCGAAAUAAUCGAACCGAAUCGAAUCGAAUUAUUUCAAUUAAUCGAGUAUUUGAUUAUUUCGGUAAUUUGAUUAAUCGCGAUUAUGAUUUUAAAAUAAUCGUAAUCGAACGAUUAUGAAAAAUUUAGUAAAAAACCGAACCGAACCGAACCGCGCCCACCUCUAGUUGAAAGCAGGAUUUAUAAGGGAAGCCAAGUACCCAGAAUGGAUUUCAAAUGUAGUCCUGGUAAAAAAGGCCAACGGGAAGUGGAGAAUGUGUGUGAACUUCACGGACCUCAAUAAGGCAUGCUCAAAGGACAACUUUCCCCUACCCAAAAUAGAUCAGCUGGUGGACUCAACAGCAUGUCACAGUCUGCUCAGUUUCAUGGAUGCCUUUUCUGGAUACAACCAGAUACCCAUGGACGAGCAUGAUGAGGAAAGCACUGCCUUUAUAACUAACAUGGGUUUGUUUUGCUACAUGGUAAUGCCUUUUGGCCUAAAAAAUGCAGGAGCCACCUAUCAAAUGUUGGUAACCAAUAUCUUCAAACCGCUGAUUGGACACACUAUGGAGGUAUAUGUGGAUGAUAUGAUUACAAAGUCCAAAGAGCCGAGGGAUCAUGUGAAGCAUCUAGAAGAGACCUUUGAAUUACUGAGGAAGUAUGAGAUGAAACUAAACCCGGAGAAAUGUGCAUUUGGGGUUAGCUCGGGCAAAUUUCUGGGAUUCCUGGUAAGCCACCGAGGGAUUGAGGCCAACCCCGAAAAAAUACGAGCGGUUACAGAUAUGAGAUCUCCACGGACAGUUAAAGAGGUGCAGAGCCUUACAGGGAAGUUGGCAGCAUUGAACCGAUUCAUCUCGCGGGCCACAGAUAAAUGCCACACUUUCUUCCAAAUCAUAAAGAAAAGGAGAAAGAUGGAAUGGACAUCAGAGUGCGAGGAAGCAUUUGGGCAGCUGAAGGAAUAUCUGGCCCGUGCACCGUUACUAUCAACUCCGAGAGAGGGUGACCAGCUGCUUUUGUACUUGGCAAUCUCCAAGCGGGCUACCAGCUCGGUCUUAGUCAGGGAAGAAGAAGGGAAGCAACACCUGGUAUACUACACGAGCAAGGCCCUGGUGAACGCAGAAAUCAGAUAUCCACUAAUGGAGAAGUGGGCGCUGGCUCUGAUAACGGCAGCACGCAAACUCCGACCAUAUUUCCAAGCCCACCAGAUCGUUGUGAUGACUGACCAGCCCCUUCGGCAAGUGCUUCAAAAAUCAGAUGCGUCUGGUCGGUUAGUAAAAUGGUCUGUGGAGCUGAGCGAAUUUGACCUGUCCUACAGGCCCCAAGGAGCAAUCAAGGCCCAAGCCCUAGUAGAAUUUAUGGUAGACCGAGCUGAACCAGUGGAAGGAGAUCGGGAGGAGUAACAGUUAGAGCAUGAGAAAACAAAGGGGAUGUGGUUGGUAAUGGUUGACGGAUCAUGUAGUGAGCAAGGAUCCAGAGCAGGGGUUGUAAUACGGAGCCCAGAAGGAUCCGAAAUAACGUAUGCAGUGAAGUUCGAAUUUCAGCUCACAAACAACCAAGCUGAAUAUGAAGCCUUUAUCACCGGGCUCGGACUCGCACACGCCUUAAAAGCAGAGAUGGUAGAAAUCCGAACAGAUUCCCAAUUGGUAUGUAAUCAGCUCAAUGAUCAGUUCCAAGCAAGGGGAGAGAAGAUGGGCCUUUAUUUGAAGAAGGCGAAGUAGAUGGUCGGACUUUUUCAAGAGGUGGAGGUAAAGUAGAUAUCCCGGAAUGAGAAUUACCGAGCGGAUAUGCUGGCUAGGAUGGCUGCAAUUGCAGACCCGAAAUUACCUAAGUCGGUCCCACUAGAGGUAAGGAACUCGCCGAGCAUAGGGGAGGAAGUGGAGGUGAUGAGAGUAAGCACUGAAGAAUCCUGAAUGGACCCGAUUCGCGCGUAUGUCCGCGACGGAGUUUUGCCUGAGGACAAAAGGCAAGCGAGAAAGUUAAAAUACCGAGCAACGAGGUACACGUUAUUAGAUGAAGUGCUGUAUCGCCGAGGGUUCACCUUGCCCCUUUUGCGAUGUGUGGAUGAUGAGGAGGCAGAUUAUAUACUAAGGGAGAUUCAUGAAGGAAUUUGCGGCAAUCACUCGGGAGCAAGAACUUUAGCCUUUAAGGUACUCCGUCAAGGGUACUUCUGGCCAACCAUGCACCAGGAUGCAAAAAAGAUGGCAAAAAACUGUAAAAUGUGCCAAAGCUUCUCUGAGGUCCCCACACAACCCCCAGAAAAGCUAACCAUUAUGACAUCCCCAUGGCCUUUUGCACAAUGGGGAAUCGACCUGAUUGGUCCGUUACCGAAAGGGCGAGGAGCGGCAACCCAUGCAAUUGUAGCAGUAGACUACUUCACCAAGUGGAUAGAGAUGGGGGUCCUUAGCCAAAUCACAGAGAGAAAGACAACGGAUUUUAUCUGGAAGAAUAUCAUCUGCAGAUACAGAAUUCCUUAUACCAUCAUUACCGAUAAUGGGAAGCAGUUUGACAACAACAACUUCAGAGAGUUUUGCCGAAACCUAGGGGUGGAUUUGAAGUUCUGCACCCCCGCACACCCCUAGGCAAACGGACAAGUGGAAGCAGCCAAUAAAAUGGUAAAGAAACUCCUGAAGACUAGACUGGGAGAGAAGAAAGGAGCUUGGGUUGACGAGCUACCAGGGGUAUUGUGGGCUUACCGGACGACUCACAAAACCGCUACAGGGGAAACCCCGUUUGCCUUAGCUUUUGGUCAUGAGGCGGUAGUCCCAGCAGAAAUUGGAGUAGGAACACAUCGGACGAAAUACUUCAAUGAGGAGCAAAAUGGCGAGCAGAUCUGCUUGAGCUUGGACCUGCUGGAGGAGAAAAGGGAAGGGGCUUCGCAGAAAAUGGCCUAGUGUCAGCAAAGGGUCACGCGUUAUUACAACAAGAACGUACGCGUGAGGCAGUUCCGAACAGAAGAUUGGGUGCUCAGGAAGGUGAGCCAAAACACCAGGGAUCCCAACCAUGGAGCUCUUGGUCCGAAAUGGGAAGGCCCGUACAGGGUGAUACGAGCAACUGGACCAGGAGCCUACAAGCUGGCGUAUCCAGACGGACGAAAGGUGAAGAGGUCGUGGAACGUGGAGCACUUGAAAAAGUACUUCCAGUAAGCAAAGUGCUCUACUAGUUUUCAUUUUGAUAAGUUAUUUCUGUUAUGAGCAAUGUGAUUUGUGACACACACAUAUAUCCCAUACUUCUGUAACGCAUUCGAAAUUCAAUAAAGAUGAAUUCAGUAUGGAACCCUUCUGCUAGUAAGCCCAUUAAAUGCUUACUAAUGCAAGAAAGUGCAUGUUUCUGCUCGGUCAACGAAAGACCAACAGCUAAAGCUUCGAAAAAUCUAUUAAGGCAACAAAGUGCCUGUUUCUGCUCGGUCAACGAAAGACCAGCAGCUAAGCUUUGAAAAAUCUACUAAGGCAACAAAGUGCCUGUUUCUGCUCGGUCAACGAAAGACCAGCAGCUAAAGCUUCGAAAAGUCUACUAAGGCAACAAAGUGCCUGUUUCUGCUCGGUCAACGAAAGACCAGCAGCUAAAGCUUCGAAAAAUCUACUAAGGCAACAAAGUGCCUACUUCUGCUCGGUCAACGAAAAACCAGCAGCUAAAUUUACGAACUUUUACUAAGGCAAGUAAGUGUCUGCUCCUGCUCGGUCACCGAAGACCAGCAAGCGAUUUUGCGAAAAUUUUACUAAGGCAAACGGAUGCCUAUUCCUGUUCGAUGCACUAAAGAACCAACAGGCAAAACCAGAAAAGAAAGCCAAUAGAGAGCAUUCAAAUAAUUUUUUAUAAGCGUUCAAAUGUUUACAAAGCAAGUGAAAAACUAGAGUCUUUACAAAAAUAGACCUAAGGAUUAGGAGGAUCAACGACCUCAGCAGGUGAAGGGUCAGCUAUUUCGGGAGGUGGAAGGUCAGCAAUAUCGGAGGGAGGAGGCACGGACCCCUGUCCCACUUCAAAAACACGCUGCCCAGCUUCUCCCUCAUACACCCCAUCCAAAGGAGCCUCUACCUGGUCCUGCUCACCCUGCUCCUUAUCUGCUUGGUCGACAUCUGCCAUAUACCGCUGCACUCCGGCCUCCAGCUUGCUCAUGUCCAGCUCGGGAUAUUCUGUCUUAAGCACAGACAUGAUGCACUUGUAGGAGAAGGCAACCCCAGAAUCAUACUCGGCAUCCAGCCGAUCAUCCACAUCAGCAGAUUUGCCUUUCUCCUCAGCCAGCUGCUCACCCAAGGAUUUUAUUUCCCCCUCAACGGCGGUCCUCAAAGUAUCCCUUUCAGUUUGAGUAGCCUGAAGAUCAGAUCUCAGGUCACCCAACUCGCCCUCAAGUUUGGAGGAAGUGGAUUCAGCAACCGCAACUUUCUCCUCUAGCUCCGUGAUCUGCUUAUUCAGCUCAGCCAGCUUCUCCUUGGAGCGAUCAGCAGAGUCAGCUUUCUUCUUCAAUUCCUGGUUGUCAGCCUGGAGCUUCCUCUCAUGGCGCGCGGACCCAAUCUUGUAGCACGAAACUAUGGUUGCCAGCCUGAAGGACACUCUCUGAACAGAAGCAGCUAGCUCGGAGAGGUUCAUACUCUCGAUGUCCUUCACCAUCUUGGGCCCCACCGAUCUCUUGUAAUCCUUUUGAUACGAGCUCAGGUAGUCCGCUUGAUCCCGAGAUGGUAGAGGAGAAGAUCGGUCCCCAGAUGGGUAGCUGACCUCAGGACUUUUGUCAGAAGUUUUCUCCCCGCCACUCUUACGGGGUGGAGGAGGGGGCAGAGCAGGGACAGGAGCCUUGGAAGGGCCGACACUGGUUUUCUUUGGAGGAGGAGGGGGGUUGCUGGAGCUGCUUGGAGCCCGACCACGCUUCCUGCUCAUCGCGCUGAGGAUCGUGUUAUCCAUUCCAGCGGCUAGGUCUUCUAGGCCCGAACCGACCAGGCUUGUUGGUGACAGGAGGUCCUGGCAGGUAGACGCGUUCAACAGAGCAGUUUCCACCUGAAGCAAAGGUCGAUCUUCAAGCCCCCCGAUUAAACCCCACGACUCUGAAAUAGCAAAAGAGGUUAAAGAACUCGAUAAGUGACAAUUUGAGUAAGAGCAUAGGCAAAAAUGAACGACCUGGGGUGACAAAAUGUGUGGGAAGAUAAAUGUCCCCACCAAGCGAUCGAACCGCUGGACACCAGUUCCCCCCGGCAAAGAAGAAUUUGUUCUUCUAAUUUUUACAUGAAGAGGGAAACCCAGUGAUCGGUUUCCUCUUUGCAGAACUGGACAUAAAGUAGUACCAGCCCGCUUCCCUCGGGCUACUCCGUAGCUGGUACAGAUGUUUCACUUCAACAAGGGAAGGCUCCUCCGACCCGCACCUCUCCCAUAACACAAACAUUGCCGAGAGAACCCUCCAGCCAUUUGGGUGUAGUUGACUUGGGGCCAGGUGCAUACCGCCCAGUAUCUUGGCAAAAUAACGUUGAAGGGGCAGCCGAACUCUUAGUCUGAAACUCUCCAAAUGCAUCGUCACAUGCCCUUUCGGAGGCCGACUAGGGAUAUCACCUUUUCCAGGAACUACAAGAAGAACAUCGUUGGGGAUGUUGUAGAGGUUCCUAAGCUUAAAUAGAUCAGUGGGGGUGGUGGCACAAGCUAUGAAAUCAAUAGGGUAGGAAUCAGCCUCCACCCUAUGGCCAAGAUGCCUUUUCUUAGCAGGUCCGCUCGGUCCGGAACUGCUCCCCUCACCAUCACCAGCUCCCUCAGGGAUCCCAACCCCACUAAAGCUGUGGUUCUCACCAGAGCCCGACGCAGGUCCACCUCUAUUCCCUACAAGCUCUAGUUCGGGGGAAGGAGAGACAACCAAGGGUCGUGGGUACUCGAGGGUACCCCUGCCAUGGGAAGGACCUACGCUACUGGAGGGGCCUAAGAAAUUUGUGGGUAUUGACACGUUGAGGCCUGAAUCCCCUGAUUCUUCAUCACUUUCAUCAACAAUUAACUUUCUUUUCCGGUUUGACAUAUCGGAAUCCCAAAAGAAAACAAGGAAAACUCGAAUAUACGGAUACAAAAUGGGGCAACACGAAACCCAAUCAACAACAACCAGAGAAGGGAUUAAAAGCAGUACCUGAAAUGAAUUGGCCCUGAUAGCGCUGCCGUGACAGAGAAAAAACCAGCAAGUAGAGACUCCGGACGCAGGGAAUGUGAGUAAAGUUCAGAAAGGGGGGAGGUUAACGACGGAGAGACGAAUAACACGGAGAGACGAAUAACAAAACAAUGACAAUGUAAGUCUAGGGAUUUGAAACGAAAAAGGGGAAAUGAAAGCAUUUAAGUGAUGGGGAUGCCAGCUCACUCACCAAAUAUCGAGGACAGAUAGCCCGUCGUUUCAAAUUUCAAAUAUAAAGAAUCUGGAGGUGCCACAUCACCAACCGUUACAAGGGGCCAAGAUAGACGUAAGCCCAGAUAUGCAAUAAACAUGCUCAUUUAGGCCCAUACUCAGGUCGGAAUCUCCCCAAAAGAAAAAUGGUACCUCAGGUCCGCCCCAGCAAACAAAAGACCAGAUUAGAAGCUCCCCGGGUUGGUGAGAUUUGACCAUUAGUUUCUACUCUUCACUCAUUUCACUCGCCAGACCAGAAACUGGGGGACUGGUGUUGAGUACAUAAAAGCACCAGGUCGGCCAUGCUAUUAUUUCCGCCCCGGCACGGAUCGCUUCAGCCAAAGUGAUAUGAGCAGAACACGUGGGCUAACAUGAGCCGACCAGAGAUGAAUACAACCAGGGAAAAAUACCGACCAGAGGUAUAUACCGAGCGGACACUCAUCCCUAGAGAAGCGGGAACACGAUCCCACAGAAUUGCAGUAGUUGCGCUUUUCCCAGAACCGUUGAAGGACACGCGAGAUCCACGUUUGCCCACAAUGUAACAGUUAGAGUCCCAUGAGAGGCUGCCACUACCCGAAAAAGGUGGGAUGAAUGGCAAACGGAAACGUGGGGACAGCGGCUAUAAAAGAAGAAGAAAUCGAUGAAGAAAAUGGGGAAAAACUUAGAGAGGGAAAACGCUGCCAAAUUGCAACCAGGCCAUUUCCUUACAAAUUUCUAACAAACUUCUUGAAUCCAAAUUACAUUGUUUUCCCGUAAAUACCUUGUGCUAACUUAGGCAUCGGAGGGUUUACGCCGGCAAAACCACCGGCGUCUUUGACCCAUUUUUUUGAACGCAGGUCUAGUGAGAGAAAGGAGGGUGAUACCAGCCUUAGUGGUUCGAACAAACAGUCGAUAAUACAAACGUUGGUGAAAGAAUCUGGUCGGUCCAAGGGCGAGCAGAUUUCAGCAUCAACAAUAUGUUUCCCAUGUGCCCAAGAAUUUCAGUUAUGGCAGCUCCAAGUCAAGGGAUGACGAAAAGCUUAGAGAUAUGUUAAGACAGGCGACGUGUAAGCGGAUUAUUGGCCGGGAGGUGGGGCUGAAUCUACAGCGCCAAACGGAGGUGAUUGAGGCUACUACUAUGCGAAAGAGUUACAGUGUUGGCGUUGGAAAGAUAGGGAGAAUUGAUGAAGAUAAGGCUUGUUCCUUUGAGGAGAAUUUGUUGUACCCAAGGAGCAAAAGCCAUGCCAUUGGAAAUGUUUGCAUCGUUAAUUAGUUAGUGAAAUACUACUACAUUUAAUAUGCUAGUUACAGUUGAGAUUAAGGGUAAAAUUGCUUCAUUGUUUGUGUAUUAAUACAUUAUAUAUAAAAUGGUCACUCAUUUGGUGAUGUUCGUUAUGAAUCUUUGAACUUUUCAAAGUGAAACAAGUUCCGAAAUUUAGGCCAAUUCCCUUAAUUGGUUAUUGCAAUUUUUACAAUCAAUCAAAAUUAUUAAAUUUAUGCUGAUUGGACCAUUUCUGUUUCAUUUUCAAUCACUUGUUUAAAUUAAAUCUUUCGAUCGUGGUGGCCAUCAAGGGUAUAAAACGUAAUAUGUUGCAGAAUCCAAAUGUUUUCAACCCAUAGAAACACUUGUGGAAGUUUAUCAGACAUUACUAUUAUUAACAUUUAAAUCACUUAUUAGUUAAAACUAUUAACAAUUACGAUCGAUGUUGAUAUAUUGUAUAAUAACUAAUAGUAAUCCCUCGAAUUAGUUUAGUCUUCCUUGUUACCCUGCCUCUCAAACAUUGCAUACUUGUUCAGUUAUCUUAAUGUACGUGGUAGAUUUGGAGGCAUGCAUGGAUCGCUUUUGGAUGGCUCAAUUCAAAAGAAUCUUGAAGUUAAUUUUAUUUUUCAAAAUUGUCACAUACAUACAAUUUGAAACUUAUUAAAAGCCUAAAUACAUAUAAUUUAUGGUACAAUUUAGAGGUUUGUCAAAGUAUUAAUUCAGUAAUCUAUACUCCCACAAAAAUAUAGUUGGAGAUAUAUUUUGAUAAAAUCAAUAGAAAUUGGAAUCCAAACUCUUAUGGUGUGUUUACUUGAGGGUUUAGGGAAUGAGAAUGAAACCUAUGUUUAAUUGACAAAAUGUAAUUUGGGAAUGAGAAUAAAAUAUGUGGGUCCCACACAAUUUGGGAAUAAUGAAUGAGAAUUUCAUUCCUAUGGGGGGUUGUGAAUAAAAAUGAGGGAAUGAGAAUGAAAUUCAUUUUUACUUUUGUAUCCCUCUAAUUUUUUCAUAUUUUCCGAAUUAUCCUCGUUCAAAUCACAAUUAAUUUUAUUAUUUUAAAUGUCAUUAUUAUUAUUUUUAUUAAAUUUUAUUAACUUUAUUAUUUUAGUUAUUAUUAAUUAUUGUUAUUAAAUUUUAUUAACUUUAUUAAUAUUAUCAUUAUUAACAUUUCUUAUGAUUUUUAUUAAUAUUAGCAUUAUUAACAUUUAUUAUUUUAAUUAAUAUUAUCAUUAUUAACAUUUAUUAUUUUAAUUAAUAUAUUUUUUAUAAUAAUAUUUAUACAUGUAUCUAGUUAAUGAAAAUUAUAUUAUUUAAUACUAUAGAUAUUUUGAUAAAUUAAUUCUCAUUUACAUUCCUCAUUCUCAUUUGUUUUGUAGAUAAAUAUAUCAAUGACAUUUCAGCAUAUUUUCAUUCUCAUUUAUUUUUACCAAAUAAAUAUUGAAAUCUCAUUCUCAUUUUAAUACAUUUUUAUUCUCAACUCAUUUUAUGAAUUAAACGCACCAUUAAUAUUGAAGGACGUGUGUUACCGCCGGUCCAAAAGGCCAAAUGGCCAAUGAUAGUUUGGGGGUAUUUUGUGGUAAAUAAAAACUAAUAGAGGUCAAAAUAAAAAUUCGUUAUCAUUGAGUCUUGAUGUGUGGUAAAAAAAAAGAAGUACAGCUUUGGGGCAGGGGGUUGGUAGCGUGUGUGAUCCAAAUCUUAGCAGGCACACUGGCACAACUUUUCCAUAUUUUAAAGGUCCGCCUAGUCUAAUUUCAUAUAGUCCCCCUAUAUUCUAUAUUAUUUAUAUUUUAUUUAUAAAUAUUAUAAAUUUUUUGAAAUAUAAAAUUUCGUUUAAACCCCUUAUACUCAAUUUUAUUUUAUUAAAAUCAUAGAGUAUGAAUUCGCCCCCAUAAUUUUAAAUUCUCAAAAUAACCUCCAUUUAAUUAAAAAUAUAAUUAUUGUUAAAUGAAUUAUAAUUAUAAUUAUAAUUUUAUUAUAAUCAUAAAUAUUUUUUAAUAGAUUAUUGUUAUUAUUAAUAACGAUAAUAAAAAAUAUUAUAAUUAAUUAAUCUAUUAACAAUAAUUAAUAAUAUUUUUAUUAAAUUGUUAGUAAUAAUAAUAAUAAUUAAUGAUAAUCAACAUAUUUAUGAUUAUAAUAAAAUGGAAUAAACACUGAGUCUAUAUUUCUAUAAGAGACUCUUUUAUAUUUCUAUACAUUUUAAUUUCAAGUACUUUUAGGAUUUUUUUGUUACCUUCAUAAAUAAUGAUUUUGUAGGCAUCUCAUUAUUAAACGGUCAUUUUUAAGUGCUUUUUGCUAAGUUGUUACACAUUCGAGGAUGUAAACACAUUUUUCUUGCUUCUAUUUUUUAAAUAUAAAAUUAUUUUUAUUGGGUCAAGCUUAAAAUUCUGACAGAAAUUAUCAUUUAUUGGUCUCUUGAAACCCGAUAAUGAGUAUUUAAAGUCGAAGGUAGCAUUAGCAAUAUAUUUACUAUUAGUUAGAUAAUCAUUAAUUAUUAUUAUUAUUAUUAACAAUUUAUAAUGCUUAACAAAAUUUUAUUUUAAUAACAAUAAUCUAUUAAAAAAAUAUUUAUGAUUAUAAUAAAAUUAUAAUUAUAAUUAUAAUUCAUUUAAUAAUAAUUAUAUUUUUAAUUAAAUGGAGGUUAUUUUGAGAAUUUAAAAUUAUGGGGGCGAAUUCAUACUCUAUGGUUUUAAUAAAAUAAAAUUGAGUAUAAGGGAGUUAAACAAAAUUUUAUAUUUAAAAAAUUUAUAAUAUUUAUAAAUAAAAUAUAAAUAUUAUAGAGUAUAAAUAAAAAUAAAAAGUGCUAAAUAUAGGCUGUAUACAGCCAUAAACGAAGAAAGUUUGGAUUUGUAAUUAUAUUUCAUAAGAAAAUUAUCGCCGUACCUUCCUGGUUCCUUUAUCUAUCGUCAAGACAUUGUGUUAUGGAUCGCAAUUCCAUUAACACUGUUCUCCUCUCAAUUAUUCAGCGUAGCUAAACCUGAAAGUGGAUCUUCAAAUCAUUGAGCAUGGCAGCAUUGCAAUUAUUUUUUCUCUUUGUGGCCCUUAAUGUGGUCCUUGGUUCAUCACGGCAAAUCAUCACGACCCUGCCGGGCUUUGAUGGUGAUCUUCCCUUCAAACUCGAAACUGGGUAUGUUCUAUUUUGUUUUAUUUUUCCUUUCUUGACAUACUUAUUAGCUGAAUUAAUUUCCCCAGAAAGAAAAAAAAACAAUUUAUUAAUUACUUUUAGGUAUAUUGGGGUGGGAGAGAAUGAUAAUGCGCAGCUGUUUUACUACUUCAUUGAAUCCGAGCGGAGUCCUGAAGAUGACCCUCUUCUGCUUUGGCUCUCCGGAGGCCCUGGUUGCUCUGGAUUUUCGGCCCUUGCGUAUCAACUUGGUAUAUUUUUUUAUUCCUGAAAUGAAAUAUAUAUAUAUAUAUAUAUAUAUGCUUUUAUUUUUUUGGUUUCCAAUCUCCUUUUUUUCGUAGAGAGUGGGGUCCAAAUCUUACGUUAUAUGCAACACCUCACGAGAUUUAAGAGUAAAACCAAAUAGCACCCACAUCAUAUAUAUUUGAUCAUAUAUAUAUUUGUUGAAGUAUGCAUCGACGACUCUUUCUCUAGACAACUUAGGCGAUUGUUUAGAGCCCUACUAUAGAUGAAGGUUCCUAAAUUUAUUCUUAAAUUAUAAUUAUUAAUUAUUGAUUUAUGUUUAUUAUUAUUUUAUAAUUAUAUUUUCCAUAAACAAACUAGUAAAUCCUUACAAAAUCCCCUUUUAACAUUAUAAUUAACAAUUUUAAUCUCAUUUAUUUCCUCCAUAUAUUUAAUCUAAAACUCUAUAAAGGCCACAUAUUUUUUAAAAUUAUUGUCCAUUAAUAUCUUUUUCCAAUAAAAAAAAAAUGUAUGAAACCUUCAUUGCUUUGGUGAAAAAACUACUUUCUCUAUCCUACUUUUCACUUAAGAAAAAAAAAUUCAAUUGUUUUACUAUUUAUUGAUCACUGCUGCUCAAAGGCUCUAUACAUCAAAGUUAAAGUUCUCAAAUUUUUCAGGUUCUAUUUUUCCAUUCUCUUAUUAAUUAAUUAUGUUAUUCAGUUGCUUUUGUUUCUUUUAAAAAAUAUUAUUGUGUUCAUAGAUUGUUUUCUUGCAAUUAUCUAGCAUAAUUUUUUACUUAAUUACUCUUGCUUCAAUAGGAAAAAAAUGUCUACUACAAAAAUAUGCAUUAGGAUACAAAAAACUUCAAAAAUAAGAGAAGAAUAGAAAAGUUAGUUUAAUCUAAAAAAGGAGCCAUUAGUAAAAACUUAUUUAAGAUCAACUAUAUCAUAGGAAUAUUAAAUAGGUUAACUAUAUUGUCUAUUGAGAAAGAUAUAUUAAGAAAAUUAGAAUAUAAAAAAUUGAUUAAUAAUUAUGCAUCUCAAAAGCUAGAGAAACUGAUUUUAAAUAAAUAAACUUUUAAUCAAAUUAAUACCUACAUUUUACCUUAAAGUUUUUAAAAUGCCUAAUUAAAACAAUUUGCCUAAGGCCUAAAAUAUGAUUGAGCCGCCCCUAGAAGUAUGAAUCAGAAUUAGAAUUCGAGAACAAACAACAACAUCUGAUCAGUCAGUGAGCGUUGGCCAACUGGCCGAUUUGGGGUUGGAUGACACGUCGGUUUAAAGCUUUGAUCACACGUUUGAAAUCUACUCAUGUCAUAUGAGUGCAGUUAGUAAAAGAUGUGCAUUGCAUGUGAUUCGCUUGAACAUUAUAGGCUUUAAAUGACAGUCUUGGAUGUCAUUUAGCUCACUUAUGGAUUCCACAUGUCCUGGACAUGGGAGAGGCAGUCAAAGGCAGUCAAAAGAAGCUAAAAAAUUCUUGCUUUGUUGAAACAAACCCAGAAUGCAAGUUGGCUUCUUAACCAACUUCCUUGAUGCUUCUAUAGUGAUAUAUAAAGCUAUUUAGGUUGUGCUUUGGUUCUUAGAUUCAUUGAAACUUUCCCUAUAAACUUGUAAUUUGAUUUGCAACAGCGAAAGAAACCAUAGCUUUGUUUCUCAAGAGGAUGUAGGCCACCGGCCAAACCUCUAUGGAUCUUGUUUGUCUUGUUUCCUUUAUCUUCUUCUGUGUUAUUUGAGUUUAAAUACAAUUGAUAAGCAUUCUUGAUGUAAUAUUCAAUGUGUGGUGUAUCAUCUUGGGCUCAAGAUUGGAUUAACUUCUUAUCUUUAUUCCAACAAUAAUAAACUUAAGUCUUGAUUGGUAUUAAGGCAUAAUUGUAAAAUAAAAGUUGACAGCAUACGUUAUAAUUGUAAUUUUUAAAUUAAUCUAUCUUCCAAACCACAGCAAUAAAUGUUUACCAAACAUUUUUUUUUUUACUAUUAUAGAUGGGGAUAUGAACUCUCCAGAACUCCUUUUUAUAGCUAGAAGCCUAGAUUAGAGAAUAAUAUUUUUAAAAAAAUUAAAGUGAUAAUUCAUAUAAGGCCACAACUAUUAUAAUAAGGUAGAAUAAAUUUAUAUUUGAGGGGAGUUUAUGCUAAGUUUAGCUUAGGGUGUGUUUUUAUGAUGUUUGGGGUAUCUAGUAUCGCUGAGAUACACCAACUAGGUGGUGAGCUAUAAUGAUCUACAUAGUGAUCUAAGGUAGUCAUAUGGAAAACAAUAAGGAGCUUAAUAGUGCAUGUAAGAAUUAAUCUGGGGAGUUGAUACUUGAUAUUGAGAGCUGAUGUGUGCUGAGGAGAGCAGCUCAGGUGAGCUUCAAAGAUAGCUUAGGUGAUCUCUCAAAAUACUUAGUGUAAUUAGAGUAGAUCCAAUAAGUUCAUAUGUGAAACAAAAUCUCGAUCUCAUAUUGAAAAUAUAGUAAAAAAGAAUAUAAAUAUAAAAAAAUAUACAAUGCUUAUAUCAAGUAUGUAAAAUCACAAGAUCAAGCAGCUGAUAUCUUCACUAAGCCACUCAAGCAAGAAGACUUUGUAAGAUUCAGAAGUUUGCUUGGUGUCACAGGAUCAAGUUUAAGGGGAGGUGUUGGAUCAUAAACUUGAUCCAAGAUGAAUAAAUCAAGCCCAACUCAUGGAAGAUUCCAUGAGUAGGUAUGGUUGGUGAGGUUUGAAUUAUUUGUGUUAGGUGUGUUAGUUGUGGUUGGUGAAGUAGGUGAGUGGUAGAUUUUAAUGGAUGGUGAGGAUUUGUUUAUUAGUUGAAUAAAUGAAUGGUUGUAAUUAGUUUGUUUCAUGUAUAAAUACCCCCUCUCCCAUUUGGUUUAAACAUCAAGUGAAGUAGCAAAAUCUCUAAGGUGUAGAGUGAAAAAAUAAGAGUUGUAAUUGGUGAGGAGUGUUGUUGAAGAAAUAAAAUAGUGUUUUUGUGUGUUUUAUUUAUUAAUUCUCCAACAAAGUGGUAUCAGAGCUAGUGCUUGAUGCUAUAUAUAGUCACAUAGCAUAUCAAAUCGAAGAUCUCGAUGAGAGGAACGUGACGCCGCAAAAAUCAUCCCGAUCCGAGAUGGGACGCGCCCACACUUGCCGCCGGAAGUUUUCUGUCCUGAAGUUGAGCCGAACUGAACCAAGCCGAGCCGAGCUGAACCGAAUCAAGUCGAACCGAGCCAACUCGAGCUGAACCAAUCCGGACCGAACCAAGACUACCAAGCUGGUGUUGACCGUUGACCGACGUUGACCGUUGACUAGCGUUGACCAUUGACCGUUGACCGAAAGUUGACUCGAAUCCUUCCCAAGGUUUUUCGACGUGCCGGAUCCAUCUGUGCUUUCAGAAUCUCCAAAUUCUCACUCAAUUUGUGAGUUAUGGCAAACAGUGGUAUGAUGUCAUUUCAAGUUCCACAAUUAAAGGGAAGUAAGUUUGACAAUUGGAGUAUUAAAAUGAAGGCUCUAUUGGGCGCACAUGAUGUAUGGGAUGUUGUGGAGAAAGGCUUUAUUGUGCCGGAAAAUGAAGCCACUUUAACUGCGGCGCAGAAAGAGAAUUUAAAAGACUUGAAAAAGAAAGAGAAUAAAGCAAAGUAUCUCAUCUUUCAAUCAUUAGAUUAAGAUACUUUUGAAAAGAUUGCUGAUACAACCUCCUCAAAAGAAGCAUGGGAGAAACUAGAGACUUCUUACAAAGGAGCGGAGCAAGUUAAGAAGGUUCGUCUCCAAACAUUACGAGGAGAAUUUGAGUCCUUACACAUGAAGGCGUCGGAGUCAAUUUCUGACUACUUUACUCGGGUUGUGACCGUUUCCAAUGAAUUAAAAAAAAAUGGCGAGGAGUUAAAAGAGGUAAGGAUCAUUGAAAAGAUACUUCGAUCAGUAAACUUGAAGUUUGACCAUAUUAUUGUGACAAUUGAAGAAACAAGAGAUCUGGAGGAUAUGACGAUCGAGCAACUUCAAGGAAGGUUGCAAGCCUAUGAAGAAAAACAAAAAAAGAAGCAAGGAAUCAAAGAACAACUUCUUAAGAUGGAAGUCAAUUCAAAGAAAAGAGAAGAAAGCUCCGACAACGAGAGAAUGCACUAUGUCGGAGGUAGAGGUCUUGGUCAUGGAUGAGGUUGGAAUUUCAACAACAACAACUCCAAUUAUGUCAAAGGAGAAAGUUCAACUAGAGGACGAGGCAGAGGCAAUCCAAGAUCGAGGUAUGUCAAAUCCCAAGUACAAUGCUAUAAUUCUCAAAAGUUUGGGCAUUAUGCUUCAGAAUGCAGAGCUCCAAGCACCAGAAUUGAAGAGAGAGUGAACUAUGUUGAAGAGAAAAAUGGUGAAGAUGGCACACUUUUACUAGCACACAAUGACACAAGUGGAGGUCAAGAAAAUACAUAGUAUCUUGACACAGGUGCUAGCAAUCAUAUAAGUGGAAACGGAAGCAUGUUCGUGCAACUAAGUGAAUCUGUGAAUGGCAGUGUCGCUUUUGGAGAUGAUUCAAAAGUACCAGUGAAGGGUAGAAGUAACAUUUUUUUUUGGUGCAAAAGAUGGUAGCCACCAAAUAAUUUCAAAUGUUUACUAUGUGCCCAAUAUGAAAAGCAACAUUCUUAGUUUAGGUCAACUUUUAGAAAAAAGCUAUGAUAUUCACUUAAAAGAUUAUAAUAUUUUCCUAAGAGAUGACAAAGGAAAUCUAAUUACAAAGCUGGAAAUGUCGAAGAAUAGAAUGUUUCCAUUAAAUAUUCAAAAUGAUGUUGCAAAAUGUCUCAAAGCCUGUCACAAAGAUCAAUCCUGGACUUGACAUCUUCGAUAUGGGCAUCUCAACUUUGGAGGACUGGAGCUACUAUCUAAGAAGAACAUGGUGAAAGGCUUACCAUACAUCAAUCACCCUGAUCAAUUUUGUGAAGGAUGUUUACUUGGCAAGCAGUUCAGAAAGAGCUUUCCAAAGGAGUCAAACUCAAGAGCUCAGAAGCCACUCGAGCUCAUUCAGACUGAUGUGUGCGGUCCAUUCAAGCCAAACUCUCUUGGUAAAAGUAACUAUUUCCUUCUCUUCAUAGACGAUUUUUUAAGAAAAUUGGGUGUAUUUUUUGAAGCAAAAAUUAGAAGUCUUUGAAGCUUUCAAGAAGUUUAAAGCUGCAGUUGAAAAAGAAAGUGGAUACCAGAUUAAAUCCAUGAGAUCUGAUCGAGGUGGAGAGUUCACUUCCAAAGAAUUUUUUGAGUUUUGUGAAGCAAAUGGAAUUCGACGCCCUUUGACAGUUCCAAGAUCCCCCCAACAAAAUGGUGUUGCAGAAAGGAAGAACAGAACCAUCCUCGACAUGGCAAGAAGCAUGCUUAAGAGUAAGAGGCUACCUAAAAAAUUUUGGGCUGAAGUUGUUGCAUGUGCAGUCUACUUAUCCAAUCGAUCUCCAUCAAGAAGCGUGUGGGGCAGGACGCCACAAGAAGCUUGGAGUGGAAGAAAACCUGGCAUCACCCAUCUAAGAGUUUUCGGAAGCAUUGCCCAUGUACAUGUACCAGACGAAAGUAGAGCCAAGCUGGAUGACAAAAGUGAGAAGUUCAUCUUCAUCGGCUACGACAACAACUCCAAAUGAUACAAGCUUUACAAUCCAAACAACGGGAAGAUCGUGAUCAGUCGAGAUGUAAUUUUUGAUGAAGAAGGAGAAUGGGAUUUUGGCUCUGGUGUGGAUGACUUCAACUUCUUUCCCAUUAAAGAAGAUGAUCAUACACAGAUAAAACAAGUAGACGAACAACAAGAGCCUGUCACUCCACCUAUCUCACCAGCAUCAACCACAUGCGGAGAUUCACCGUCGUCUUUCUUAAAUGAAAGAACCGAAGAACGUACAAGGAGUCUUCAAGAUCUCUAUGAGGUAACUGAGAGACAUAAUAAUCUCACUCUCUUUUGCCUCUUUGCUGAUUGUGAGCCAGUCAACUUCCAAGAAGCUGCACUAGAUGAGAAGUGGAGAAUUGCAAUGGAUGAAGAAAUCAAAGCCAUUGUGAAGAAUGAUACUUGGGAGCUUACUACUCUUCCAAAAGGUCACAAGGCGAUCGGUGUCAAAUGGGUGUAUAAAACAAAAAGAAAUGCGAAUGGAGAAAUUGAAAGGCACAAGGCGAGGCUAGUUGCAAAAGGCUAUAGUCAAAAGGCUGGCAUAGACUAUGACGAGGUAUUUGCUCCUGUAGCUCGACUUGAAACUAUUAGACUUAUUAUUUCUUUGGCUGCUCAGAACAAAUGGAAGAUUUUUCAAAUGGAUGUGAAGUCUGUUUUCUUGAAUAGAUUCCUUGAAGAAGAAGUUUACAUUGAACAACCAUUAGGCUAUGUGGUGAAAGGACACGAGGACAAAGUUUUGAGAUUGAAGAAAGCUCUUUACGGGUUAAAGCAAGCACCAAGGGCAUGGAAUAGCAGAAUUGACAAGUAUUUUCAAGAGAAAGGCUUCACCAAAUGCCCAUAUGAACAUGCUCUCUACAUCAAAGAAAAAGAUGAAGAUAUUUUGAUUGUGUGCCUGUAUGUGGAUGAUCUCAUCUUCACUGGAAGUAAUCCAAGCUUGUUUGAAGAGUUUAAGAGAGUGAUGAUCAAAGAGUUCGAAAGGGCUAACAUCGGACUGAUGGCAUAUUACCUCGGCAUUGAAGUCAAGCAAAAGGAAGAAGGCAUAUUUAUCUCCCAAGAAAGCUAUGCAAAGGAGAUUCUCAAGAAGUUCAAGAUGAAUGAUUGUAAGCCUAUAAGCACGCCAGUGGAAUGCGAAGUCAAGUUAUCCAAAUAUGAUGAAGGCGAAGAUAUAGAUCCAACAUUCUUUAAAAGUUUGGUUGGAAGCCUACGUUAUUUGACAUGCACAAGACCAGAUAUCCUUUAUGCUGUUGGACUUGUGAGUCGAUACAUGGAGAAUCCAAAGAUCACCCAUUUUAAAGCUACAAAAAGAAUCAUUCGCUACAUUAAAGGUACAAUUAAUUUCGGCUUGUUAUACUCAUUUUCUAAUGACUACAAGCUUAUUAGAUAUAGCGAUAGCGAUUGGGGUGGAGAUGUAGAUGAUCGAAAGAGCACAACAGGAUUUGUGUUCUUCAUGGGAGAUACUGCUUUCACAUGGAUGUCAAAGAAGCAACCAAUUGUCACGCUAUCCACCUGUGAAGCUGAAUAUGUAGCCGCCACAUCAAGUGUUUGUCAUGCAAUUUGGCUCAGAAAUUUGCUGAAGGAGUUGAGUUUGGCACAAGAAGAGCCAACCGAGAUUUGUGUUGAUAACAAAUCAGCAAUUGCCCUAUCCAAGAAUCCAGUCUUUCAUGAUCGAAGUAAACACAUAGACACUCGCUAUCAUUUCAUAAGAGAGUGUAUUGCGAGAAAAGAAGUGCAAAUCAAGUAUGUAAAAUCAUAAGAUCAAGCAGCUGAUAUCUUCACUAAGCCACUCAAGCAAGAAGACUUUGUAAGAUUCAGAAGUUUGCUUGGUGUCACAGGAUCAAGUUUAAGGGAAGGUGUUGGAUCAUAAACUUGAUCCAAGAUAAAUAAAUCAAGCCCAACUCAUGGAAGGUUCCAUGAAUAGGUAUGGUUGGUGAGGUUUGAAUUAGUUGUGUUAGGUGUGUUAGGUGUGGUUGGUGAAGUAGGUGAGUGGUAGGUUUUAAUGGAUGGUGAGGAUUUGUUUAUUAGUUGAAUAAAUGAAUGGUUGUAAUUAGUUUGUUUCAUGUAUAAAUACCCCCUCUCCCCUUUGGUUUAAAUAUCAAGUGAAGUAGCAAAAUCUCUAAGGUGUAGAGAGUGAAAAAAUAAGAGUUGUAAUUGGUGAGGAGUAUUGUUGAAGAAAUAAAAUAGUGUGUUUUAUUUAUUAAUUCUCCAACACAAACCCUCUAUUUUUAUAAAAAAUAAAUAAAUAAGUUAUAUAUUAGAAUAAUAAAUUAAAAAUUAAAAAAUAAUGAAAAAAAGCUUAAAUCCCUAAUUUAUAUAUCAAUAAUGAAUCAAAAAACCCAAAUUAUAAAUUAUACUAUCUUUUACGUUUAAUUAAUUAAAAGAGUGCUUGAAUUAGAGAAUCCAGUAUUAAAAAAAUUAAAUCUCUAAAUUUUUAUUUGUUUUUUUCUUUCUUUAUUAUUUUAUUUUAAAAUAUUCAUUUUCUAUAAUUCAUUGUUGAUUAUAAUAACUUGUUCAUUAUUAACUCAUUUUCAAAUUUACAACAAUUUAAAAAAAGUAAAAAAAUAAGUGAAAGUCCAAGCUUAGCCCGAGCCUGGCCCUUAAACUUCCCCUCUAAUAGGCUUAAGCCGGACUUUUUCACCAUCCAUAAUUUAUAUUGCUCUUAAGUAUUAUACCAAUUUUAUUCUUUUAAUUAUCUACGUGUCCUUCAUUUUUUAGUUCAAAAAUAUCUUAUUAAAUUUACCUUCAAACAGGAAUCAAUGGUUGUGGCACAAGGCAUUAGUUAUAGUAAAUGAUAGAGUUGGGCUACCGGAAGAAACAAUGAAUUAAAAAACAAUAGCUAUUGGUUGCAGAUACGUAGUAUAAUAAGUUAUAAUAACACGUCAGUAUUUUAAUUUUUUUAAUUAAUAGAACAAUAUGUGAGUUGGUUGAAAACAUUUAUUAUAAGUCUUACAUCCGGGUUAAAAUAGAAAAAAAGAAGUAUUUAAGCACGUUGACAUUUUUAAUAAGACAUUAUUAGCGGGAUAUUAGGAACGUCAUCGGAAUUUUAAUGGAUUUUAAAAUAGUAAAUUACAUGAGGAGUUUUAUCAUUAUCCUUUCUUAAUAUAUCUUGAUGGUAUGUCCUUUGUAGGUCCAUUGUCAUUUGACUACGAAAAUUCUAGAGAAAACUCCUCAAAGUUGUUGUUGAAUCCAUACUCAUGGACAAAGGUGAGACAUUAAUUAGAAAAUUCUUUUACAAACUUUGUGUUUUAAUAAUAAUAAUAAUAAAUUUGGAAUUGUAUUAGAGAUCUCAUUGGGAGUUGCAUGUAAAUUAUUAUUCAGGUUGCCAGUAUUAUAUUCAUAGAUGCACCAGCUGGCACCGGAUUCUCAUAUGUCAAAAAUUGGCAAGGAUUCGUUAUGAAUGAUACACUUUCAGCAGUGCAAACGUAUUUUUUUCUAAGAAAGGUGAGUAAAAAUUGAGGUGGUGUGCGUCUUACUGCAUAAUAAAAUCACUAACAAUUAAUUUAUUAUAAGUUGAUGACCAUUUGUAAGAAUAUUAGCUUAGCUUUAAACUAAAAGUUAAUAUUUUAGCUGUUGUGCUUUAUUAAUUAAGUGGAAGUCCAAGUAGUGCAAACAUAUAUACCUUAAAUCAUGCAUCAAUUGAGUCUAUUGGUUUUCAAAAUUAAUGCAUUAUGCAUGCUAACCAAUCUUUUUAAUUUGUAUAUGAAUGAUGGAUUAGUGGCUUAUAGCUCAUCCCAGUUUCCUCGCGAAUCCACUCUAUAUUUUUGGCGAUUCCUAUUCUGGCAAAGUUCUUCCAAUCGUUGUUCAAAAAAUUUCUGACGGUAAUUUUUUUUUUCCCCUUCUUCCAUCUUAGAAUUUAGUUACUCUGCAUGCUGUGAAACAGAAUCAAACAUUUGCCAAAUUCACUUGCAGAAUAUAAUGGCAUUGAUUAUUACCGUAUUUAUCACAAUUAUCAUUAUUUAGUUGCUGAUACUUUGUUGCAGGUAUUGAUCUCGGAGAUGAGCCCAGAAUGAAUCUCAAAGUAGGUCACCUAGAAUCGGAUAUCACAUAAAUUUUGAUUUAUUUCAUUCUCAGUUUUUUACAGGACUAUUGAAUCUUAACAAUUUUGAUAAUGGACACAGGGAUAUUUGCUUGGCAACCCAGUAACAGAUGAGGCUUUAGACACCAAUUUUAGACCACAAUUCGCAUAUAUGAAGGGACUCAUCACCCAUGAAAUCUACGAGGUGACUUCUUUAAUCGUAUAUAAUUUUCAAAUUAAUAUUUUUUGUGUCUAAAUAUAAAAUCCUUUCUCUAAUGUAAGUGUCUUCAUUUUUUUCCCAUGCAGAUAUUUUAUUAAGUCAUAUAGUUUAAUAGAGUACUAUUAAUUUUUAAGUUAAUAAGAUAAGAUUUUUUUAAAGUUUAUUAUCUAAUAAAUUUAUUGAAUUAUUAAUUUGUCAUUUGACCCAAGCCAAGACUAACAAAAACUAUCUUUUAAUUGAAAUUAUCAAAUUUAUCAAGUAUUAAUUUAACCAGGUUCCGUUGUAUAUGUAAAACAUAGAUUUAGCUAGUUACUGGUAACCAAUUAGUGGCGAAGCCAUGUUAGGACCUAGGGUUGGCAGAAUUCCCUAAAUCUCUUUUGAGAUUCGGGAUCCAGGCCCAUUUGAGACGAGAUUCGAAAUCAAAUUUAUCUUAGUUUACUAUUCGGAUCAGGAUUGGGACUCAAAUUUUUCCUAAAUUAUUGCUUGGUACAGGAUUCAAGAUGUUUGAAGAUCCUGAUCAGGAUCUUAAACGUCUCGAAAUCUCAGUUUCCACAGGUGCAUGACAAAUUAAUUUGAUGAAUCAGUAUCACAUAUAUAUAUAUAGAAUAUAUCAGUCAUAUGUUUAUAACACAUCAUUUUAAUAAAUAAAAUAUAUAUGAUAUGUCGGUCAUAAUCGUAUGACAUGUCGUUUAUGAUAAAAACUGCAAUGUGUGAUAGAAAACUCAUGUUAUUCGGAACAAUUCAAGAUCCCAAUUGAGACGGAUCAGGAUCCAUUUUUGUCCCAAUUUACUACUUGAUAAGGGAUUUAGAACACAUUUUUUGCCCGAUUAUCUAUCAGGACAGGAUCAGUAUUGACAAAUCCUAGCCCGUUCGGGAUAAAUUUUUAACCUUACCAGGGUUGAAGUUAUGUAAAAUCCUCAAUAUUUUAGGUUCAAAUUAUAAGGAGAAAAAAAAUGGUGGGUCCUGUAGGUCUUAUUCAUCGAUAAGUAGUUGACAUCCACAUUUAUAUAAAAAUCAGACACCAAAAUUAAAAGAAGGAUAUAAAUACAAGGUAUGAUAUAUGAAUAUGAACUGCCAUGUAUUAAUUGCUUAAAAUGUGUGAGAUGCUUCUUUUAUUUUCUGUUUACAGUCAGCCAAAAGAAAUUGCAGGGGCGAGUACACGAAUGCAGAUCCAAGCAAUGGCUUAUGUAAAGCUGAUCUUCAAAAUAUAACAGCGGUAUAUAGAACAAAACUCGUUGUCAUUUUGUUCAAUUAACUAGUAUUAUAAGUACAGGUAGCAAAAUUAACUCACCCAAUUGCAUUUGUAGUGCAUUGGAAAAUUAUGUAUCCAGAACAUAUAUGAACCUCAAUGUAGUUUAGAUAUACUCAGAAGACCAGUGCAAUUCAUGUGGGAUCGCGCCAUCAUCGAAGAAGAUUCUUUUGAUUUUCUCUAUUCGCCAGUUCAAUCAGCCCCAAGGCAUUGGUGUCGGGUAAAAUUCUAUACACACACACAAUAAAUGUGCAAUAACCCAUCAAUGUGUAUAGAAUCAAUCAAUCAACUUUGAUCAAGGUAACGUAUUUCAUAUCCAAUUAAUUUUGAACGUUAAUGUCUCUUUCAGUCCUAGGGUCUGAUUUAAUUACCCUAUUAGUCCUUGAAUCUAUAAGUUAUUUGUUUUUGUAAAAUCAACUUAAUUAUACUUAACUUUUCAUAUGUUGCAUGUCAGACCAAAAAAAAAAAAAAAAACCUUCGCUCGUAAAAAGUUAGAUCUAACAGUUGUGGAAAUAACACUAGAAACCAACUAAUAACCAAAACUGAAAACUCAAUGGAAUAUAUAUAGGGGAAUUUACUCAAUUUUAAACGUAAACAUAUAUAAGCAGCACUGCAGCGCACAUCUGUUUCUAAGGUUUCUUUACUUUUAUUAUUAUUGUUGUUAUUAUUGCAUAUUUGCUAUGUAAUCAACAAUUAUAGUAUGAGCUGCUGAUGUUCCACUUUCAUAGAAAGAUAACUAUUUCUACUCGUACAAUUGGGCAAAUAAUAAAGCUGUGCAAAAGGCUCUGAGAGUUCGGG